UACGAAGGGGGCUAGCGUUGUUCGGAAUCACUGGGCGUAAAGCGCACGUAGGCGGAUCUUUAAGUCAGGGGUGAAAUCCCGAGGCUCAACCUCGGAACUGCCUUCGAUACUGCGGGUCUCGAGUCCGGGAGAGGUGAGUGGAAUUCCUAGUGUAGAGGUGAAAUUCGUAGAUAUUCGCAAGAACACCAGUGGCGAAGGCGGCUCACUGGCCCGUAACUGACGCUGAGGCACGAAAGCGUGGGGAGCAAACAGG
rnacentral:rRNA from 1 species